rnacentral:rRNA from 1 species
GAUGAACGCUGGCGGCGUGCUUAACACAUGCAAGUCGAACGAAGCACUUUAUUUGAUUUCCUUCGGGACUGAUUAUUUUGUGACUGAGUGGCGGACGGGUGAGUAACGCGUGGGUAACCUGCCUUGUACAGGGGGAUAACAGUUGGAAACGGCUGCUAAUACCGCAUAAGCGCACAGCAUCGCAUGAUGCAGUGUGAAAAACUCCGGUGGUAUAAGAUGGACCCGCGUUGGAUUAGCUAGUUGGUGAGGGAACGGCCCACCAAGGCGACGAUCCAUAGCCGACCUGAGAGGGUGACCGGCCACAUUGGGACUGAGACACGGCCCAAACUCCUACGGGAGGCAGCAGUGGGGAAUAUUGCACAAUGGGCGAAAGCCUGAUGCAGCGACGCCGCGUGAGCGAAGAAGUAUUUCGGUAUGUAAAGCUCUAUCAGCAGGGAAGAUAAUGACGGUACCUGACUAAGAAGCACCGGCUAAAUACGUG